rnacentral:rRNA from 1 species
AUUAACGCUGGCGGCGUGCCUUACGCAUGCAAGUCGAACGGUCCCGAUAGCUUCGGUUGUCGGGAUAGUGGCGGACGGGUGAGUAACACGUAGGCAACCUGCCCGAAAGUGGGGGAUAACUUCGCGAAAGCGGGGCUAAUACCGCAUGUGGUCGGUCCCAGCCUGCUGGGACCGAUUAAAGCCUUCGGGUGCUUUCGGAGGGGCCUGCGGCCGAUUAGCUAGUUGGUGGGGUAACGGCCUACCAAGGUGACGAUCGGUAGCUGGUCUGAGAGGACGAUCAGCCACACGGGGACUGAGACACGGCCUCGACUCCUACGGGAGGCAGCAGCGAGGAAUUUUGCGCAAUGGGCGAAAGCCUGACGCAGCAACGCCGCGUGGGCGAUGAAGGCCUUCGGGUUGUAAAGCCCUUUUACGGGGGAAGAAGUUCUGACGGUACCCCGCGAAAAAGCCACGGCUAACUACGU